rnacentral:tRNA from 1 species
CGGGAGCUGGCCGGGAGGGUGGCGGCGGGCGGCGAGCCCGUGGACGCCGUGGUGGAGGCGCCCAGGCUCGGGCCCUGACGUCCCGCCC